AUGAACCUCUUGGCUUGGAACUGUCGAGGAUUGGGGUUGGACUCGACAGUUGGCGAAUUAAGAGACCUGAUAUGGUCCUACAACCCGGCGAUGGUUUUUCUUUGUGAAACGAAUAAAACGGCGAGAGCAAUGGAGCGACUAUAGUGGACCAUGGGAUUUAAUCAUGGUGUAGCGGUAGACUAUCAAGGGAGGAGUGGAGGUCUUGCUCUAUGGUGGAGAGAUCAUCUUCAGGUUACCGUGCGUCCGUGGAGCCAGUACUUUAUCGAUGUAGAGGUGAUGUGUGAGGGGAAAACUUGUAGGAUCAUUGGAUUCUAA
rnacentral:rRNA from 1 species